AAGAUGGAAGUACCCUAAGACCCUGAAAAAUGCACAGAGAAGAAUCACCCGACUGGCUUGAACUUUCAUGUGAAAGGAAUGAACCUCUGUCUUAGUAAAGCCACCGUGAUUCAGGGUCCUUGUGAUAUUCACUGAGGCUGUAACAUAAUUGUUGAAAGAACAGGAGCGGGAGGGGAGAUGGAGUCGGAGAGGCAGGCAGAGGUCAGAUCACAUGGGGCCUGUAGGCCAAGGCGGAGGAAGAAACAGGUGACAUAGGACUCAAGGACCCCACCUGCUCCCAGGCGAAGGGAGUUUGCUGUGGGUGCCCCUCCCUGUCUGUGUGUCCAGUGUAUUCAUAUUCUUCAUACCUUGCCCAUAUUGGACAAAUACUUUUUUCUAUUCAAUAUUUAGAAGACAUUGCAUUAAAUAGCAAGAUGGCAGGUGAACAUCAGGAAGGAACAUUAGGAACAUCCACGGCGUUCCAUCCAGGAACCUUCACCGUGGAAACUCUUGUGCUCAUGGGCGUGGUCUCAAGACACAGUCAGCUGUUGGGGAUCAGAGGCGACACUCAUUGUAGCAGAGAGGCAGGACCAACUGGGAGAGGGUCCUUCUGUGACAACUAUUGCAUCACCGGGCUGUGUGAAGUGACUCAGCUGCCAGAACUCACACAAUAUCAUUCUACACCAAACCUCACGGGAAAAAUGCUCCACGACCCUCAGACUUAAACAGCAGCACUGGCUCCUCCCCAGAUCUCCAGCUCCCUGACCCUCAAACUCCAACUCCAACACCAGCUCUGCCCCAGGUCUCCAGCUCCACAAUCCUCAAACUACAACAGCAGCACCAGCUCCCCUGGGGAUCUCCAGCUCAAUGACUCUCAGACUUGGGAGGCAGCUCCAGCUCCCACCAAGCCUCCAGCUCCACAACCUUCAAACUAGAACAGCAGCACCAGCUACUCCCUGGGUCUCCAGCUCCCUCAAAAUUCAACUAUAGCACUGGCUGUUCCCCAGCGCCACCAGCUCCACAACCCUCAACUUACACGGUGGUAGCACCAGCUCCUCCCUAGGUCUCCAGCUACACGACCGUCAAACUUGAACUGCAACACCAGCUCCUCUUCGGCCUCCAGCUCCACAAUCCUCCAACAACAACAGCAACACCGGCUCCUCCCUGAAUCUCCAGCUCAACAACCCUCAGACUUGAGAGGCAGCACCGGCACCUCCCCAAGGCUCCAGCUCCAUGACCCUCAGAUUUGAACAGCGGUAGCACCAGCUCCUGUCCAGGUCUCCAGCUUCAUGAUCCUUAAACUAGAACAGCAGCACCACCACCUCCCUAGGUUUCCAGCUCCACGACCCUAAGACAUGAAUGGCAGGACCGGGUUCCCCGCUAGGGCUCCAGCUCCAAGACCCACAGAUAUAAACGGCAGCACCGGCUCUUCCUGGGAUCUCCAGCUCCACAGCCUUCAAACACGAUCAGCAGCACCAGCUCCCCUCUGGUUCUCCAGCUCCACAAUCCUCAGACAUGAACAGCAGCACAGGCUCCUCCUUGGGUCUCCAGCUUCUCUACCCUCAGACUAGAACAGCAACACUUGUUCCUCCCUGGGUCUCCAGCUCUUACAAGUCUCAGACUUGAAAGGCAGCACUGGCUCCUCAGAAAGUUUCUGGCUCCAAGCUGGUGCUGCUGUCCUAGUUUGAAGGUCAUGGAGCUGGAGACCCGGGGAGGAACCAUUUGAACAGCAGCACUGGCCCCUCCCCGGGUCUCAGGCUCCACGACCCUCAGACUUAAAAAGCCGUAGUACGGGCUUCUCCCUGGGUCUCCAUCUCUACAACCCUCAGACAUGAACAGCAGCAGCACCGCCCCCUCCCCCUGUCUCCAGUUCCACGAACCUCAAACUACAACAGCAGUACCGGCCUCUCCCCAGGUCUCCAGAUCCAUGACCCUCAAAAUAGAAUGGCAUCAUCAGCUCCUCCCUGGGUCUCCAGCUCCCAAACCCUCAAACUUCAACUAACACAGCAGAUCCUCCCCACAGUUAAACAGCAGCACGGGCUGUUCCCCAAAGCUCCAGAUACACGACCCUCAGUAGCACUGGCUCCUCCCAAGGUCUCCAGUUCCAUGACCCUCAAACUACACAGCAGCACCGGCUCCUCCCCAGGUCUAUAGCUCCACCACCCUCACACUAGACAUCAAGACUACCUCCUUCCCGCUCUCCAGCUACACGACCCUCAAACUUGAACAGCAGCAGCAGCUCCUCCCUAGAUUUCCAGCUCCAUGACCCUAAACCUGCAACAGCAGCACCAGCUCCUCCCUGUACCUCAAGCCCCAUGACCCUCUGACUUGAUCAACAGCAACAGCAGCUCCCUCCCUGGUCUCCAGCUCCACAACCUUCAGCCUUAAACAGCAGCAGCACCAGCUCCUCCCUGGGUCUCCAGCUCCACAACCCUCAGACUAGAACCGCACCCCUCCUCCCUGAGUCUCCAGCUCCAUGACCGUCAAACUACAACAGCAACACAGGUUCCUGUCUGGAUCUCCAGCUCAGCAACUCUCAGAUGAGGCAGCACCGGCAACUCACCAAGGCUCCAGCUCCACAACCCUCAGAUUUGAAUAAUGGUAGCACCAGCUCCUGUCCAGAUCUCCAGCUUCAUGAUCCUUAAACUAGAACAGCAGCACCGCUGCCUCCCUGGGUUUCCAGCUCCACGACCCUAAGACAUGAAUGGCAGAACCGGCUUCCCACAAGGGUUCCAGCUCCAGGACCCACAGAUUUAAAUGGCAGCACUGGCUCUUCCCAGGAUUUCCAGCUCCACUACCCUCAAACUAGAAGAGGAGCACCGGCUCCUCCCUGGGUCUCCAGCUCCCAAACCCUCAGACAUCACCUGACACACUGGAUCCUCCCCACAGUUACAUAGCAGCACGGGCUGUCCCCGAAAACUCGAGAUCCACAACCCUCUGACUUCAAUGGCGGUAGUACUGGUUCCUCCCUAGGUCUCCAGUUCCAUGACCCUCAAACUACACAGCAGCACCAGCUCCUCCCCAGGUCUACAGCUCCACCACCCUCACACUAGACACCAGGACUACCUCCUCCCCGCUCUCCAGCUACACGACCCGCAGAUUUGAACAGCAGCAGCGUCUCCUCCCUGUACCUCAAGCCCCAUAACCCUCAUAUAUGAACAACAGCAAUACCAGCUAAUGCCUAGGGCUCCAGCUCCAGGAUCCACAGAUUUAAACUGCAGCACCAGCUCGUCCAAGGAUCUCCAGCUCCACCACCCUCAGACUAGAACAAGACCUCUACUCCCUGGGUCGCGAGCUUCCGGACCCUCGAACUAUGAAAACAUUGCUCCUCCCUGGGUCCGCAGCUCCACGACCCUCAAACCAGAUCAAGAUCUCUCCUCCCUGUGUCGUCAGCUUCCUGACCCUUGAACUAUGACAACAUUGCUCCUCCCUGGGUCAGCAGCUCCACAACCCUCAAACCAGAUCAAGAUCUCUCCUCCCUGGGUCGCCAGCUUCCUGACCCUCGAACAACAGAAACAUUACUCCUCCCUGGGUCAGCAGCUCCAUGAUCCUCAAACUAGAAUGAGACCUCUCCUCCCUGCGUCGCCAGCUUCUGGACCCUUGAACUAUGAAAAUAUUGCUCCUCCCUGGGUCGGGAGCUCCAUGACCCUCAAACUAGAACAAGACCUCUCCUCCCUAGGUCUGCAGCUUCCAGUCCCUCAAAUAACAACAUUGCUCCUCCCUGGAUCUGCAGCUCCACGACCCUCAGACUAGAACACGAUCUGUCCUCCCUGGGUCACCAGCUUCCGAACCUUCGAACUAAAACAACAUUGCUCCUCCCUGGGUCUGCAGCUCCACGACCCUCAAACUAGAAAAAGACCUCUCCUCACUGUGUCGCCAGCUUCUGGACCCUCGAACUACAAAAACAUUGCUCCUGCCUGGGUCUGCAGCUCCACGACCCUCAAUCCAGAUCAAGAUCUCUCCUCCCUGUGUCAUCAGCUUCCUGACCCUCGAACUAUGACAGCAUUGCUCCUCCCUGGGCGCACCCUCAAACUAGAACAAGACCUCUCCACCCUGCGUCGCCAGUUUCCGGAGCCUCAAACUAAAACAACCUUGCUCCUCCCUGGGUCUGCAGCUCCACAACCCUCAAACUAGAACCAGACCUCUCCUCCCUGUGUUGCCAGCUUCCUGACCCUUGAACUAUGGAAACAUGGCUCCUCCCUAGGUCUGCAGCUCCACGACCCUCAAACUAAAACAAGAUCUCUCCUCCCUGGGUCUGCAGCUCCACGACCCUCAAACUAAAACAAGAUCUCUCCUCCCUGUGUCAUCAGCUUCCAGUCCCUCAAAUAACAACAUUGCUCCUCCCUGGGUCUGCAGCUCCACGACCCUCAAACUAAAACAAGACCUCUCCUCUCUAGGUCUGCAGCUUCCAGUCCCUCAAAUAACAACAUUGCUCCUCCCUGGAUCUGCAGCUCCAUGACUCUCAGACUACAACAAGAUCUCUCCUCCCUGGGUCACCAGCUUCCGGACCCUCGAACUACGAAAACAUUGCUCCUCCCUGGGUCUCCAGCUCCAUGACCCUCAAACUAAAACAAGAUCUCUCCUCCCUGUGUCAUCAGCUUCCAGUCCCUCAAAUAACAACAUUGCUCCUCCCUGGGUCUGCAGCUCCACGACCCUUAAACUAGAACAAGACCUCUCCUCACUGUGUCGCCAGCUUCCGGACCCUUGAACUAUGAAAACAUUGCUCCUCCCUGGGUCCGCAGCUCCACGACCCUCAAACUAAAACAAGAUCUCUCCUCCCUAGGUCUGCAGCUUCCAGUCCCUCAAAUAACAACAUUGCUCCUCCCUGGAUCUGCAGCUCCACGACCCUCAGACUAGAACAAGACCUCUCCUCCCUGAGUCACCAGCUUCCGAACCUUCGAACUAAAACAACAUUGCUCCUCCCUGGGUCCGCAGCUCCAUGACCCUCAAACUAGAACAAGACCUCUCCUCCCUAGGUCUGCAGCUUCCAGUCCCCAAAUAACAACAUUGCUCCUCCCUGGAUCUGCAGCUCCACGACCCUCAGACUAGAACAAGAUCUCUCCUCCCUGGGUCACCAGCUUCCGGACCCUGGAACUACAAAAACAUUGCUCCUCCCUGGGUCUGCAGCUCCACAACCCUCAAACUAAAACAAGAUCUCUCCUCCCUGUGUUGCCAGCUUCCGGACCCUCGAACUAUGACAACAUUGCUCCUCCCUGGGUCUGCAGCUCCACGACCCUCAAAGCAGAUCAAGAUCUCUCCUUCCUGUGUCAUCAGCUUCCUGACCCUUGAACUAUGACAACAUUGCUCCUCCCUGGGUCUGCAGCUCCAUGACUCUCAAACUAGAACAGCAGCACCAGCUCCUUCCUGGACCUCCAGGUCAAUGACUCUCAGACUUCAAAGGCAGCAGCAGCUCCACCCCCAGGCUCCAGCUCUAAAACCCUCAGAUGUGAGCAGUGGCAGCACCAGCUCCUUUCUGCGUCUCCGGCUUCAUGAUCCUUAAAUUAGAACAGCAGCGCCAUCUUCUCCCUGCGUCUCCAGCUCCAGGAACCUCAAACUGCAACAGGAGCACCUGUUCCUCUGGGAUUUUCACCUCCACGACCCUGAGGUGUCAGUGGCAGCACUGGCUCCUCCCCUGGGCUGCAGCUCCAGAACCCUCAAGAAUAAUCCCUUCUCAUGAAAUGUAGCAGUCAGGAAAACUGCAGAGGAAGUAAAUAAAUAAAUGUUUUCUUUCAAACUGAUGUUUCUUUUAUAUUCACACAAGUCAGGA
rnacentral:lncRNA from 1 species